GAUGAACGCUGGCGGCGUGCCUAAUACAUGCAAGUCGAGCGAACAGACGAGGAGCUUGCUCCUUUGACGUUAGCGGCGGACGGGUGAGUAACACGUGGAUAACCUACCUAUAAGACUGGGAUAACUUCGGGAAACCGGAGCUAAUACCGGAUAACUUGUUGAACCGCAUGGUUCAACAGUGAAAGACGGUCUUGCUGUCACUUAUAGAUGGAUCCGCGCCGCAUUAGCUAGUUGGUAAGGUAACGGCUUACCAAGGCAACGAUGCGUAGCCGACCUGAGAGGGUGAUCGCCCACACUGGAACUGAGACACGGUCCAGACUCCUACGGGAGGCAGCAGUAGGGAAUCUUCCGCAAUGGGCGAAAGCCUGACGGAGCAACGCCGCGUGAGUGAAGAAGGUCUUCGGAUCGUAAAACUCUGUUAUUAGGGAAGAACAAAUGUGUAAGUAACUAUGCACGUCUUGACGGUACCUAAUCAGAAAGCCACGGCUAACUACGUG
rnacentral:rRNA from 1 species